rfam:Thauera sp. MZ1T, complete genome.
GAAGUCCGCCAGGCAGUCGCUGCGCACCUCGUCGUGCGUGGAGGAAAGUCCGGGCCCCGCAGAGCAGGAUGCCGGCUAACGGCCGGGCGCCGUGAGGCGACGGAAAGUGCAACAGAGAGCAGACCGCCGAUGGCCCGGACUUCGCUGCCGCAAGGCAGCAGAGUCCAUUUUGAAGAGCUUGCUCUUCAAUGGGUACAGGUAAGGGUGAAACGGUGCCGCGGCUUGCGCGAGCAAGCUGAGGGUCGGUGCGCAAGCAUCGGCAGGUAAGAGCUCACCGCAGGACUGGCAACAGGACUGGCACGGCAAACCCCAUCCGGGGCAAGGCCAAAUAGGGGAGCAUCGGCGUGGCUCGCGUCGCUCCCGGGUAGGCUGCUAGAGCGCCACGGCGACGUGGCGCCCAGAGGAAUGACUGCCCGAUGUCACCGGUCCGCCGGUGGCGUUCGACAGAACCCGGCUUAUCGGCGGACUUCCCAC